GAAACAUAGGACGACAGCUGGCCAUGGUACGUGAAAUAUCACCUCCACCCCGACUGGAGUGUUUAUUUAUUUACUUAAUUUAUUUAUUUACUUAUUGGCUGCAAGCACCACAUGUAGAAGUUACCAGGCCAGGGAUGGAAUCCAAGCCAUAGCGGUGACAACCCCAGGUCCUUAAUCUGCUGGGCCACCAGGGAGCUCCUGGCUGUAGUUUGAUGGGUCUGGUUACCACAGUGCGUUACAGUCGUGUUGAUAAACGUCUAGUUGAGACGCAGGAGCACCAAUUACUCAGAAGAGCGCAUGUUUUUUAAAAAGCAGGUCUAAUACCCAGGCCAGGGGUCUCAUCGGAGCUGGAGCUGCCAACCUACACCACAGCCACAGCAACGCGGGAUCUGAGCCGGGUCUGCGACCUACACCACAGCUCACGGUAACACAGGACCCUUAACCACUGAGCGAGGCCAGGGAUCGAACCCACAAACUCAUGGAUCCUAGUCGGAUUCGUUAACCACUGCACCACGACGGGAACUCCGCUCCGAAACAUUUUCGCCGGCGGUUUUAGAGCCAGUUUUGGUACACUGGUGUCUCGAUAGAGCAAAGAACGUCCCAUCGCACACAAGGAGACGUCUCGCCAGAGCAGCCGUCACACCGCCAGCGACAGCCUUCCACCCUUGUCUCGGACACUUUCCUUUCUUUGCAAAGAUGGAAGUUUCAAACAGAACCUAAGACAUGAGCGUUGGCACGGCCCUGAGCCCCCUCAUAGUUGGGUGGGUCCCUUGUGUCCUGGAAUGGGGGCUGAGUGCCAACCCCUUCCUGGGCCCUGGGCCUGGCCCGCCUCCCCACCCCCAGCUCUGAAACUCCGAGUCUGUACUGCGGGGUCCCAGCGGCACAGGGAGCGAGCAGACCCGGCAGCGGUGUGAAGCUGGCAGGCCCCGUUCGGCCCCAAGAGCAGCCACAUCUGCCUCCCUGCCCCCCGCUGGCCGCGCCGCCGGGCCCGGGUCCUUGUACCAGACGGAGGAGCACGUGGCCACUGCCAGCUGCUCCAAAGGAGGACACAAGCGAGGCAUUUUUCUCUGGGUUUCCAAACCCAGCGGAGGGCAUGUCACAGGGUGAAUAAAGGCGAAACCAUCCCGGGUGCUGUCACAGCCGUUUCCGCCAGAAGAAGUCAGGUGGGUGGCUGCGGGGCUGACGGAGGCCCAAGGAGGAGGAGCCGGGCUCAGCAGUCUUGAUGGCUGGGCCAGCCGGCCUGGCAGAGCCGCAGCCCUCGCUCCCGUAGUGAGGACGGGGGAGAGGGGCCCCAGGUGCUGAUUGCUGAGCAGCGGAACUGCAGGUGGGUUUGGGGUUUUCUCCUAUGUUGCAUUUGUAAAAUUUACAGUGAAAACAUACAGUUGACCCCUGAAGAACACGGGGGCUGUGGCACCGACCCUCUGAGCAGUGGAAAAUCCCAGUGUGACGAAUGUAUGUCAGCUGUCCCUAUCCUCAGAGCCAGCCAACCCCCGACCAUACUUGCGUAGCAUUUACUUCUGAAAAAUUCCGAUGCAAGUGGGCCGUGGGGUUCAAACCCACGGUUGUACAAGGCUCCAGUGCGCCUUCAUAACCAAAAGCCCUCGGGGUGUACAGCAGCUCCGAGCUUCGGUCUAGUCUCGGGUGGGUGGAGCCGCCACCACACCCUGUUGAGAUUAUUCACUGGGAGGCCACUGCAGGACUGGUCCCUCGGCCUCUGCACGGUGCUGCCAGCUUCCUGGGAGCAAGGCCCUGGCCUUGGAUGCAGAUGACAAGGAAACAGCAGAUUGGCCACCCCCAAGGCUCCCAGCCUCAUCCCUGUGCUGGUCUCCCUCCCAAGUCUUCUGCCUUUUUGUUCCUCUUUUUUUCCAUCCUGUGAAGGCUGUGUAAACGAAUCUCCUGAAAACAGUGGACAGUCUUAGAAAAAGUCCCCUGUGUCCAGCAGGAGUUGAGUAGCCUUCACCUGCAGUUCCGGUAACUUUUGAACCUACAGCCUCACACUCUUAACAAGUGCUCCAUCCACUUGGGCCUGAACUGAAGGUGUGGCCUCCUUGCCAUUGCCAUGGGCUGAAAGCUGGCCUUCAAAAAUGUGCUGUUGCAGCAGCAGAGAGAUAAGUGCGUGAAGCCAGAAUUGGAGUUUUCAUGAGACUAUUGGAAGCGUAGGAAAUCAUACUUGCUUCAGAUUACGUCAGGGCUGAAGAAUGAAAAAUACACCUAUGAUAAGACUUGUUUGAGAAAACUGUGGGGCCCUCUCUGCAUGACACUGCCUGCCCCUACCUAACUAACGGUAGUGUCUCCUGGGACCUUUUGUUGGGUGUGUGGGUGGGCUCCCCCCACCUGUCCCCCAGGCAGUAGCAGCAGCAGUUAGGAGGCUGGAGCAAGGGCCCUGCAGUGACAGGAGCUGCAGGUGUGGCUUUGACCCUGUGCACCUGCCAGGUUGGGGCCCUGGACUACCCACUGCUCAGGUCCCAGUCCUGCUGGGACUCUGGCACUUGAGCCAAAGUGUCUUGAGCCAGGGGCACUGGGGCACAUGCAUGGUACACACUGCCCCUCGUGGUUUUGUAUUCGUGUCUCAGAAUUGUUGCCUUUGUGUUGACUCUCACCUCCAUCCGGUGGAGUCUUGAAAGUUGAGGUUGUGACAAAGUCACACCUUGCCAGACUCUGUCUUGUCCAAGAAAAUUUUCUUCGAGGGCAAAAUCAAUACUUUGUUUUUAAAGGAGUUAGAAUUCUUAACUCAAGUCCUUAUUUUAUUUUUUUUCUUCACAGAAAU
rnacentral:lncRNA from 1 species